rnacentral:rRNA from 1 species
AUUGAACGCUGGCGGCAGGCUUAACACAUGCAAGUCGAGCGAGCGGCGGACGGGUGAGUAAUGUCUGGGAACCUGCCUGAUGGAGGGGGAUAACUACUGGAAACGGUAGCUAAUACCGCAUACCAUCUGAUGUGCCCAGAUGGGAUUAGCUAGUAGGUGGGGUAAUGGCUCACCUAGGCCACGAUCCCUAGCUGGUCUGAGGGGAUGACCAGCAAAACUGGCACUGAGACACGGUCCAGACUCCUACUGGAGGGAGCAGUGUGGAAGAUUGCACAAGGGGCGCAAGCCCGAUGCAGCCAUGCCGCGUGUUUGAAGAAGGCCUUCGGGUUGUAAAGCACUUUCAGCGAGGAGGCGUUACUCGCAGAGGAAGCACCGGCUAACUCCGUGCCAGCAGCCGCGGUAAUUC